rnacentral:rRNA from 1 species
GACGAACGCUGGCGGCGUGCCUAAUACAUGCAAGUCGAGCGGACCGGAUUGGGGCUUGCCUUGAUUCGGUCAGCGGCGGACGGGUGAGUAACACGUGGGCAACCUGCCCGCAAGACCGGGAUAACUCCGGGAAACCGGAGCUAAUACCGGAUAACACCGAAGACCGCAUGGUCUUCGGUUGAAAGGCGGCCUUUGGGCUGUCACUUGCGGAUGGGCCCGCGGCGCAUUAGCUAGUUGGUGAGGUAACGGCUCACCAAGGCGACGAUGCGUAGCCGGCCUGAGAGGGUGACCGGCCACACUGGGACUGAGACACGGCCCAGACUCCUACGGGAGGCAGCAGUAGGGAAUCUUCCGCAAUGGGCGAAAGCCUGGAGGGGCGACGCCGCGUGAGCGAAGAAGGCCUUCGGGUCGGAAAGCUCUGUUGUGAGGGAAGAAGGAGCGUCGUUCGAAGAGGGCGGCGCGGUGACGGUACCUCACGAGAAAGCCCCGGCUAACUACGUG